rnacentral:rRNA from 1 species
UGGGGAAUAUUACACAAUGGGCGCAAGCCUGAUGCAGCCAUGCCGCGUGUAUGAAGAAGGCCUUCGGGUUGUAAAGUACUUUCAGCGAGGAGGAAGGCGUUGUGGUUAAUAACCGCAGCGAUUGACGUUACUCGCAGAAGAAGCACCGGCUAACUCCGUGCCAGCAGCCGCGGUAAUACGGAGGGUGCAAGCGUUAAUCGGAAUUACUGGGCGUAAAGCGCACGCAGGCGGUCUGUCAAUUCGGAUGUGAAAUCCCCGGGCUCAACCUGGGAACUGCAUCCGAAACUGGCAGGCUAGAGUCUUGUAGAGGGGGGUAGAAUUCCAGGUGUAGCGGUGAAAUGCGUAGAGAUCUGGAGGAAUACCGGUGGCGAAGGCGGCCCCCUGGACAAAGACUGACGCUCAGGUGCGAAAGCGUGGGGAGCAAACA